rnacentral:lncRNA from 7 species
CGCACGGCUGGGGGGAACGGAGCGCCCGCAGGGACCUCCUCGGGAGGUGGGGGGGCGGAGCUGUGGUUAUGGCGGCCGUGAGUGGGGCUGUGGGGUCGGAGAUCCGCAGCAAGAUGCGGCGAAACAAUGGGAUCGGGGCAGAACGGGGAGUCCCCCAGGUCCUCCAGAGCUGCGCUGGAUGCACUGAGCAGCACGGCGUGGUGCAGGGGAUGUACCGCCUGUGCGGCGUGGCGUCCAACAUCCACAAACUGCGGUCAGAGUGCUGCGACUGACACAGCUGUCAGUAGGGGCGGAAUGGGGCACGUGCCACGUUCUGGGCGUUCAGAGGGCAGCUCCGUGCAGGCAGCGGUGGUGCGCCAGGCUUGUGGCUGUUGGAUAGAACACAGGCUGCUCAGUAGACUUGCUGGGGCAGGAAGUUCUCCUCCAGGAUGCAGCGUUGGAAGGCUCUGGGACUGCGCUGUCAGCUCUCCUUCCCGUUUGCUCAUCUUUGCAGAGCCCUUCUGAGCAGCCCCUGCUCCUCCUGGCUGCUUUGGGCUCCUGGCAUGUGAUUGUAGACGAGGCAGCCAGUUGUCAGCGUAACUGGGAAUGCCUUAGCCAAAAGAAGAGGCCCCCUUUUGGAAACGUCUCAUCUAGCGUGGCUUGUGUGUUGUUGGCGACCGAGUGCUUAUUUCUUCCUGUAACUCAGGAACCCCUCCCUUUUCUUGACUGUAUUUUGUAUUGCUUUCUACUUCUUGUUUUCCCCUUCUUCAGCCUCCCCUGCCCGUUGCUGUGUCCUUCUCCCCGGCCAUGAAUGUGACUCCGAGCAGAGUCCUGACCCAACCCAGGACAGCUACGUCUGUGGCGUUCACAGCGUGAGCUCCCUCUGCAAAAUGUACUUCAGGGAGCUCCCAAACCCUCUGCUGUCCGACCGGCUGUAUGAGCAGUUGUCAGUAAGUACAAGGCAC